ensembl:lncRNA
GCUUCAUGGAUACCAAGUCCUUGGACAGCUUUCUAAGAAGUAGAAUUCUGCUUCAAGUUCCCUUGGACAGAAGUAGGAUUUCCUCAUCCUAAGUAUAUCCAUGCUAUGACAUUCUUUCAAGCAUCCAAAACAAAUAUUCUACAUUGGAUUAAAACAUAACAUUUAAUGGUUCAUGCAUAGAAAUAACCUUCAGGUUAUUUUCUUUCAGCAAAGAAAAGCAGCCAGUUUAGUUAUGUCCAUCCUGUGCUGAUUUUUAUGACAUUCACUGCAGUUCUUGAACAAAAAUGUGAUUUCCACCAAGUCUUUAACUGAUCAUGAAAUAGUUUGAUAACCUUCAUCCAGACUACCCUAUGCUUCUUACAAACCCGUAUUUCUGCAGCCACAUAAGAACUGAAAAUGACAUUGAGAGCUCCUGACUCCAGUCCCUGUGGUGCAAGACACUGUAUCUUAUGGCCCUUUCAAAGUGCACUGAUGCACUGCAGGUACGUGUUCACUGGAAAAGAUUGUUACAGGCAUACAAGUGACAAAUCUGAAUCAAUCUCUUGUCCCCUUGGCAAAUUAAAGGAGGCAGAGACACCUUUGAGAAGCUGUGGCCAGCACUUCCAAAGGACCAGCAGCAUUGUACUCCUGCAUAUUUCCAAUAUUUCAACCUUUACAAUGUGUUAUGUAACGGAAGUGCUGCAGAAAGAAGAGCAGCAGAAACCCUCCUCUGCUCCAAGGUACUGUGAGGUAUAAACAGCCUACUGACAGCCUAACAGCAAGGAUUUCAUAAAUCACAGCAAUCUCUCAAACUGUGAUUUACACCUAUGGGCCACAGAGCCCUAAGCUUCACCUAAAUGCACAAAGCAGCAAAGGAAAACUCGAGGUCACUUUGUCCUUACUCUCCAAGCUACACUUACUGCAAGUUUCCUCCUGAGACUUACAGCAGAGAAUCUGGCACAUCACCAUCAUGUAAGCAUUUCAAUUAACCUAGAUUCACAGCUUCACUUCUGUGUUCCCAAUGCAUCCAAAAAACUAUGAAACUACCUUAUGAACAAAAGCAAUGUUAUUUAGCUGGGGAGAGUUAUGUAAGCAAUUAAGAGCCAGGCAGAGACCAAGUCCUGCAUUAUCAGACACACCCAGACAUUACACAGCCACUUUUGAUUCACACCUCCUUUUCUUGAUUCUUUGGUAUUUGUGCUUAAGAUACUGACUUUAACACAGCAACAGACAGUACCAACUAAUAAUUCUGUAUUUAUCAGCUAUAUAUGCUGUUUGAAAAAAUGGGAAGCAGCUACCUGGAGCACCUUCAGAGACAAAGGUACAUGCCUUUCCAAGCAGAACAGUACAUAUAGGCCUUUACCUACAAAGCUUACCAGAUGAAGACAUUUUCUUUAGCAUUUGCUUGAUUACUUUGGUUUGCAUUUAAUUAUACAGAUGGCUGAGUGGUUUUGUAAUUUUAUAGCUGGACUGUGCUAGUAAUUGAUGUGGUAGUGUCAGUCUUACUGAGGCUGGUUUGGAAAUGCAUGGGGUUUGAAAAGCUGUAUUUAAAGCCUCUUGUUACAAUGCAAGAGAUGAAUUAAAUGAAAGAAUGUUAAACAAUGUUGGGGGUUUUUUUCUGUGGACUUUACAUAACUGUACUAUUUGUCCCAAGACAACACUGGAAUCAGUAUAUCAACAAUGAAGAUUGCGGCUGACUUUGCAAGUCCUUCAAAAAUGUAACUCCUGUACACACAAGUUGUGUACCUGUCUUCCUGUCUGUUUUCACUAACCUAAAAUGAAGAAGUUUAUUUUUAAUCCAGAAAAAAUAAUUUAUUAACCCUUAGGCUGACUGAACACUAGCAUGUGAGAACGGAAAGAUAAAACAAACAAAACUGACAAUAAACUUAUAUUCCUUUUCACCCCUAGUUCGUAUUUAUGAAUAUAAAAGUAAAGAAACCCCUGUACUAAUGACAUAAAUCUACAUUAUUUUCUGGAGGUAGA